UCAACAGGAGCCACUCUUCCAAUUGCACUUUCACCAAAAUCUGCUAUCAAAGUUUCAUUAUUUCUCACUGGAUCGUGGAGUACUUUAAAACUGGCAGGCAUUACUCCUUCCCCAAGUUGGAAUCUGUCAAUUUUUUUCUCCCAUGACUGAAGGCGAAGAGUCUUCAAAAUGAAAUUCUUGACUAUUUCAGGUUCUCCAUUCAUCAAAAAAGCUAAUGCACUUGGGAUAAAGUCUCUUACAAAAACCUGAUCAUAGUUAAAUUUUUCUUCAGAAUUAUCCAAUGCAGCAAUGGUCCCAACUGGUUGGCCGCGAAAAUA
rnacentral:misc_RNA from 1 species